AUUGAACGCUGGCGGCAGGCCUAACACAUGCAAGUCGAGCGAGCGGCGGACGGGUGAGUAAUGUAUGGGGACUGCCCGAUAGAGGGGGAUAACUACUGGAAACGGUGGCUAAUACCGCAUACUAUCGGAAAAACCAUAUGGGAUUAGCUAGUAGGUGGGGUAAAGGCUCACCAAGGCGACGAUCUCUAGCUGGUCUGAGAGGAUGAUUAGCCCCACUGAGACUGAGUCCCGGCCCAGACUCCUACGGAAGCAGCAGUGGUGAAUAUUGCACAAGUGGCGCAAGCCUGAUGCAGCCAUGGCGCGUGUAUGAAGAAGGCCUUAGGGUUGUAAAGUACUUUCAGCGGGGAGGCGUUACCCGCAGAAGAUGCACCGGCUAACUCCGUGCCAGCAGCCGCGGUAAUAC
rnacentral:rRNA from 1 species